AACCAUUUUGUUUAUUCUAAGAUGAAACUCACUUUCACGAUCAAUGUCUUCUGCGCUUUUUCUUGUUUGCAAAACUUCCUUUGCAAUUUCUUGGCUUUCCCACAUCUUUUGAUAAAUUUGCCACUUUGCUGUGUAAUUUUCCAGCUCUUUUCUUUGUUUAUUGCUAAGUAUGGCAAUCGAAAAUUAAUUCUUUAUACCUAAAUGACUUAUACCACAAUGUCACUCAGUUAGAAUUGUUCAUCAGAUAACAUCGGAUAUUCCUAUUGUCAAAAGAAGGCUAACUUUCUCUGCCAUUAUUACGACUUGAUGCAAAAAAGGAAAUUUAAAUAUUCAAAUAUAUACUUUCUAAUGUAUAUCUGAUGACCAAAUCUAACCUUGCUCGCAUGUAGAAAUAAAGAAUCUGAGAGGAGUAAUUUUCAGUGCAAAUUCAGAAGAUUCUAAGAAAUCUAUUAAAAAAUGAUGCUUUAGAAGAAUAAACACAAAAUCACAAAAAUUGUGUGUUCGUUUAUUCAUUUUUUCUUUUUCUUCUAUCUUUGCUUAUUCUCUGCUAUAUCUUAGCUUCAUUUUGGCAGAACGUUUUAUGUAUCGGCCAAUACUGUUUUCGUAUUAUUUAGAAGACAAAUUUGGUAUGAAGAAAUGCAAGCGUCUUUCGAUUCAACAAGCAGGAACAGAACUUUUGCUUAAAUAAAAUCUUUACCAUCAAAAGUUUACAAAUCGUCUUCUCCAAACUUGCAACAGCAUCGUUCUGGGCUAUGAUCUUCGCAUCAAGAUCUGAAAAAUAUCAAAACCCAAAUGAGCUUGAAUUUUUUCUUGAUUAAAAAUAUUCAACCGUUUUUGUUCAGGAGCACAAAGUCUUAGUUUGCCACAGGUUUGGACAAUUCAGAAUAAACAUUGCCAUUGCCACGUACUCAGUGCAACUCGUAUGCCCUAUGGGGUGAUCACUUAGGCAGGCAGUUACCACGUACAUUAUCCUCUACAUUAUCAAGAUCGUUGUGAAAGACAGCU